CGGGACACGUGGUAUCCUGUCUGAAUAUGGGGGGACCAUCCUCCAAGGCUAAAUACUCCUGACUGACCGAUAGUGAACCAGUACCGUGAGGGAAAGGCGAAAAGAACCCCGGCGAGGGGAGUGAAAAAGAACCUGAAACCGUGUACGUACAAGCAGUGGGAGCACGCUUAGGCGUGUGACUGCGUACCUUUUGUAUAAUGGGUCAGCGACUUAUAUUCUGUAGCAAGGUUAACCGAAUAGGGGAGCCGAAGGGAAACCGAGUCUUAACUGGGCGUUAAGUUGCAGGGUAUAGACCCGAAACCCGGUGAUCUAGCCAUGGGCAGGUUGAAGGUUGGGUAACACUAACUGGAGGACCGAACCGACUAAUGUUGAAAAAUUAGCGGAUGACUUGUGGCUGGGGGUGAAAGGCCAAUCAAACCGGGAGAUAGCUGGUUCUCCCCGAAAGCUAUUUAGGUAGCGCCUCGUGAAUUCAUCUCCGGGGGUAGAGCACUGUUUCGGCAAGGGGGUCAUCCCGACUUACCAACCCGAUGCAAACUGCGAAUACCGGAGAAUGUUAUCACGGGAGACACACGGCGGGUGCUAACGUCCGUCGUGAAGAGGGAAACAACCCAGACCGCCAGCUAAGGUCCCAAAGUCAUGGUUAAGUGGGAAACGAUGUGGGAAGGCCCAGACAGCCAGGAUGUUGGCUUAGAAGCAGCCAUCAUUUAAAGAAAGCGUAAUAGCUCACUGGUCGAGUCGGCCUGCGCGGAAGAUGUAACGGGGCUAAACCAUGCACCGAAGCUGCGGCAGCGACGCUGAUGCGUUGUUGGGUAGGGGAGCGUUCUGUAAGCCUGUGAAGGUGUGCUGUGAGGCAUGCUGGAGGUAUCAGAAGUGCGAAUGCUGACAUAAGUAACGAUAAAGCGGGUGAAAAGCCCGCUCGCCGGAAGACCAAGGGUUCCUGUCCAACGUUAAUCGGGGCAGGGUGAGUCGACCCCUAAGGCGAGGCCGAAAGGCGUAGUCGAUGGGAAACAGGUUAAUAUUCCUGUACUUGGUGUUACUGCGAAGGGGGGACGGAGAAGGCUAUGUUGGCCGGGCGACGGUUGUCCCGGUUUAAGCGUGUAGGCUGGUUUUCCAGGCAAAUCCGGAAAAUCAAGGCUGAGGCGUGAUGACGAGGCACUACGGUGCUGAAGCAACAAAUGCCCUGCUUCCAGGAAAAGCCUCUAAGCAUCAGGUAACAUCAAAUCGUACCCCAAACCGACACAGGUGGUCAGGUAGAGAAUACCAAGGCGCUUGAGAGAACUCGGGUGAAGGAACUAGGCAAAAUGGUGCCGUAACUUCGGGAGAAGGCACGCUGAUAUGUAGGUGAAGCGACUUGCUCGUGGAGCUGAAAUCAGUCGAAGAUACCAGCUGGCUGCAACUGUUUAUUAAAAACACAGCACUGUGCAAACACGAAAGUGGACGUAUACGGUGUGACGCCUGCCCGGUGCCGGAAGGUUAAUUGAUGGGGUCAGCGCAAGCGAAGCUCUUGAUCGAAGCCCCGGUAAACGGCGGCCGUAACUAUAACGGUCCUAAGGUAGCGAAAUUCCUUGUCGGGUAAGUUCCGACCUGCACGAAUGGCGUAAUGAUGGCCAGGCUGUCUCCACCCGAGACUCAGUGAAAUUGAACUCGCUGUGAAGAUGCAGUGUACCCGCGGCAAGACGGAAAGACCCCGUGAACCUUUACUAUAGCUUGACACUGAACAUUGAGCCUUGAUGUGUAGGAUAGGUGGGAGGCUUUGAAGUGUGGACGCCAGUCUGCAUGGAGCCGGCCUUGAAAUACCACCCUUUAAUGUUUGAUGUUCUAACGUUGACCCGUGAUCCGGGUUGCGGACAGUGUCUGGUGGGUAGUUUGACUGGGGCGGUCUCCUCCUAAAGAGUAACGGAGGAGCACGAAGGUUGGCUAAUCCUGGUCGGACAUCAGGAGGUUAGUGCAAUGGCAUAAGCCAGCUUGACUGCGAGCGUGACGGCGCGAGCAGGUGCGAAAGCAGGUCAUAGUGAUCCGGUGGUUCUGAAUGGAAGGGCCAUCGCUCAACGGAUAAAAGGUACUCCGGGGAUAACAGGCUGAUACCGCCCAAGAGUUCAUAUCGACGGCGGUGUUUGGCACCUCGAUGUCGGCUCAUCACAUCCUGGGGCUGAAGUAGGUCCCAAGGGUAUGGCUGUUCGCCAUUUAAAGUGGUACGCGAGCUGGGUUUAGAACGUCGUGAGACAGUUCGGUCCCUAUCUGCCGUGGGCGCUGGAGAACUGAGGGGGGCUGCUCCUAGUACGAGAGGACCGGAGUGGACGCAUCACUGGUGUUCGGGUUGUCAUGCCAAUGGCACUGCCCGGUAGCUAAAUGCGGAAGAGAUAAGUGCUGAAAGCAUCUAAGCACGAAACUUGCCCCGAGAUGAGUUCUCCCUGACUCCUUGAGAGUCCUGAAGGAACGUUGAAGACGACGACGUUGAUAGGCCGGGUGUG
rnacentral:rRNA from 1 species